AGAGUUUGAUCCUGGCUCAGAACGAACGCUGGCGGCGUGCCUAACACAUGCAAGUCGAACGAGAAAGCGGACUUCGGUCUGUUAGUAGAGUGGCAUACGGGUGAGUAACACGUGGGCAACCUGCCCGAAGGUGGGGGAUAACUCUCGGAAACGGGGGCUAAUACCGCAUGAUAUCUCGAGGACUCCGGUCCUUGCGAUCAAAGCUAGCCUCUAUUUAUAAGCUAGCGCCAUCGGAGGGGCUCGCGGCCCAUUAGCUUGUUGGUGAGGUAACGGCUCACCAAGGCUGCGAUGGGUAGCCGGCCUGAGAGGGCGAUCGGCCACACUGGAACUGAGACACGGUCCAGACUCCUACGGGAGGCAGCAGUGAGGAAUAUUGCGCAAUGGGGGAAACCCUGACGCAGCGACGCCGCGUGGAGGACGAAGGCCUUCGGGUCGUAAACUCCUGUCAAGGGGGACGAAAGCCGUGGGGAUGAAUAAGCCUCACGUUUGACGGUACCUCUGAAGAAGCCCCGCUAACU
rnacentral:rRNA from 1 species